GAUGAACGCUGGCGGCGUGCCUAAUAUAUGCAAGUCGAGCGAACAGACGAGGAGCUUGCUCCUCUGACGUUAGCGGCGGACGGGUGAGUAACACGUGGAUAACCUACCUAUAAGACUGGGAUAACUUCGGGAAACCGGAGCUAAUACCGGAUAAUAUAUUGAACCGCAUGGUUCAAUAGUGAAAGACGGUUUUGCUGUCACUUAUAGAUGGAUCCGCGCCGCAUUAGCUAGUUGGUAAGGUAACGGCUUACCAAGGCAACGAUGCGUAGCCGACCUGAGAGGGUGAUCGGCCACACUGGAACUGAGACACGGUCCAGACUCCUACGGGAGGCAGCAGUAGGGAAUCUUCCGCAAUGGGCGAAGGCCUGACGGAGCAACGCCGCGUGAGUGAUGAAGGUCUUCGGAUCGUAAAACUCUGUUAUUAGGGAAGAACAAAUGUGUAAGUAACUAUGCACGUCUUGACGGUACCUAAUCAGAAAGCCACGGCUAACUACGUG
rnacentral:rRNA from 1 species